rnacentral:sRNA from 1 species
AUAAAAAAUUAUAACACUAGCAUACAUGGUAAGAUCUCUGAGCUCAUUAUAUUUAAAUAUUUAUUAUUUGGAACUUUUGCAGUGUAGGAAAAAUUGAAGUGCUAUUGAUGUUCAGGUAACAAAUUUUUAAUGAAACUUUAGAAAUGAUUACGGUGCUGUUUGUACUUAGGUAGGAAGAAAAUUAUUUUUUAAUACUGAUAUUUGUUUUGUUUUAAUAGGUAUCAGCAGAUGUUGCACACAAACUUGGUAUACCUUGCUACAAUAGCAGAUUCUAAUCAAAAUAUGCAGUCUCUUUUACCAGCAGUGUGAUUCAAGUAAGGUGAAGGAACACAUGCUUAGAGCUGUGGAACAUUUUGAAGAUUAGCAGGUCGUAUUACAUUUGUAACAUUUACUAAAUUUUUAGCAUAGGUAACUUUGCUAUGGUUAGAACGCCAAGGACUACAAAAAGCCAUACAAAAACCUACUGUCACUUCUGUCUUCCACCUGCUUUUUAUGCAAUAAAAGCCAAUAUAAAUAUAUACCUUGCUGUUUUCUACACAAGUAGAACUUGCCAUGUACCCUGUUCUGUACCUUGUUUUUUAAUUACAGUAAAAAAAAGAAA